CAGUCGCCACGGUAACACGUAGGGUGCAAGCGUUAAUCGGAAUUACUGGGCGUAAAGCGUGCGCAGGCGGUUUGUUAAGACAGAUGUGAAAUCCCCGGGCUCAACCUGGGAACUGCAUUUGUGACUGGCAAGCUAGAGUCUGGCAGAGGGGGGUGGAAUUCCGCGUGUAGCAGUGAAAUGCGUAGAUAUGUGGAGGAACACCGAUGGCGAAGGCAGCCCCCUGGGCCAACACUGACGCUCAUGCACGAAAGCGUGGGGAGCAAACAGGAUUAGAUACCCCAGUAGUCCCUGUCUCUUAUAC
rnacentral:rRNA from 1 species